rnacentral:lncRNA from 1 species
AAUAAAAAUUGAGGAAUCUCUCCCAUUUGGCCACAUGGAGCACACUGCUGGCUAUAUCCAAGGCAGUUUGCACAGAAAUGAAUGGCACAGGACUGGAUGGAAGAGGAGGUGACCGCAGGCGAGGACACGCUCAGACGUUUUCCGAAGCGCAUGUGAGCGAUGCAAUAUUGCUUAUCGAAACGUCGGGUAGCAGAUGUCCUCAGCUGCCUUGAAGAGGCAGACAAUGAGCCGUCCAUCACUCAAGAAGCUUCUCCUCGUCCAGAGCUGGCACCUCCUAGGUUUGUUUGGUUAGAUGCAUUGUUCAGGGUUGAUCCGAUUGCAGUCCAAACAACGAGCUCC